rnacentral:rRNA from 1 species
AACGAACGCUGGCGGCAGGCCUAACACAUGCAAGUCGAGCGCCCCUUCGGGGAGCGGCGGACGGGUGAGUAACGCGUGGGAACGUACCCUUUGCUACGGAAUAGCCUCGGGAAACUGGGAGUAAUACCGUAUGUGCCCUUCGGGGGAAAGAUUUAUCGGCAAAGGAUCGGCCCGCGUUGGAUUAGGUAGUUGGUGGGGUAAUGGCCUACCAAGCCGACGAUCCAUAGCUGGUUUGAGAGGAUGAUCAGCCACACUGGGACUGAGACACGGCCCAGACUCCUACGGGAGGCAGCAGUGGGGAAUCUUAGACAAUGGGCGCAAGCCUGAUCUAGCCAUGCCGCGUGAGCGAUGAAGGCCUUAGGGUUGUAAAGCUCUUUCAGGGGGGAAGAUAAUGACUGUACCCCCAGAAGAAGCCCCGGCUAACUCCGUG